AACCAUAGAAACCUGCGGAGUACCUGCGGAGGGAUCAUUACCGAGUUGCAAAACUCCCAAACCCAUGUGAACCUAUACCGAUACGUUGCUUCGGCGGACCCGCCCCGGCGCUCGCGCGACCGGAACCAGGCGACCGCCCGAGGAAAAAACCAAACCCUUGAAAUGUGUAACCUAGAGUGUAACUUCUGAGUACCAAAACAAAUGAAUCAAAACUUUUAACAAUGGAUCUCAGAUCGGAAG
rnacentral:misc_RNA from 1 species